CUUCUUCCGGAUCGAAUAAAUACAUCAAUUAAUUUCUCUCUUUCUAUGAAAGGAUGUCAUAGGCAGAAUUAAAUUUCCAAAACAAAGGGGCUUGAAAUGCCACUCGAACCUAGAGCUAGCCGGUUCUCCACGAAGUGCUUGAGGUGCAGCAGUGGACUGGACAUCAAGGGUAAAGCACGAUUUUGGCGCAGGCCACGAUGUGCAACAUAAUUAAUUCAGUGAGUUCCAUAAAACAUAAAAAAAUGCACUUCUAUUCCAAAACAAAAAAGGACAGUUAUGAAAAUGCUUGUGUUUGACAAAUAGAAGCAAAAGACCUAUCAACCCAAAGAUGAAUAGUACACUAUUAAGGUAACAACAAUAUAGAAUAGUAAGCCAAAAAUGUAGAUUCUACCUACUUAAAUGAAGCCUUGAUAAAUUCAUAUGUGAUGAUCAUUUUCACAAUCAAAGUAGCAAACAACUAAUUCAAAAUAGUUCAUAAUUCUCCAUUAAGAUAGGAAUGCAUUGAUCAAAACUGUGGAAAUCUCCACUCCCCUCGAUAACUUCAUGGUAUUUUAGCAUAGUCAAGAGGGAUAUAUGCCGAAUACAAAAAUUCCUUACGAGUCUAGUUAUAGCCCACAUUCCCGGUAAUACAAUAGUAAAAACUCUAGCUUUUCAACUUCUGAUAACUCCAAAAGUGCGGAAUUCAUCUUCAAGUUGUCAUUCAGUUUCUCAGGAUCCAAGUUUCCAACAUACACCCAAGACAUCUUUAAAAAACACCCUUCUAAAGCAGAUCAAUUUAACGUUUUCCAUUUAUAUAUUCUAAUUUUCAAAUCAAGUGACUCAAAAUCGAACAUAUAUUGCAUAAAAUAACAAUAAAUAAAAUCCAAAGGAAUGAGGAAGAAAUUAUUUUUAGCAAAUCGAAAAGAAAAAAUAAAGAACCUCACGCAAUCAAUAGAGAUUUAACCUUUCAACCUCCAAACUACAAAAGAACCCCAAAUAACCUAAUAGGCCUUUUCAGACUUAGCCUAGCACACCAAAACCAUCUCCCCUACCCACAGAACAUGCUGUCGACUGCUUCUAUUUUUCGGCUGAACCACAACAACCAACGUCGUCGUCGGUUACACCACCUUUGACCCAUCGAUUCUACCUCCAUUCCAACUCUAAACCACCAACAUCUCGUCCCUUCGCUGCUCUAUGCUUUCUACCUCCACAACACCAACACCUUCAUCUUGAAAUAGCCAUGAAAUAAUUCGUACGCGCAGAAAUGUGAGGCAAAGAUUAAGGCAUAUGUCCAAAUCCCUUUUUUCUUAGACGAAUUGGAAAUUGUCAGCAUGAGGGAAGGUUUCGUUUAGGCUUAUAGACAUUGCAUUUAAUGUUAUCCCGUUUGUGAACAGUAUCUAACCA
rnacentral:lncRNA from 1 species